rnacentral:rRNA from 1 species
AGAGUUUGAUCCUGGCUCAGGAUGAACGCUGGCGGUAUGCUUUACACAUGCAAGUCGUACGAGAGUUUUUAACUCAAGUGGCGGACGGGUGAGUAACACGUAAGAAUUUGCCUUUAGGAGGGGGACAACAACUGGAAACGGUUGCUAAUACCCCAUAUGCUUUCGAGUGAAACGGUUUUUCCGCCUAAAGAGAAGCUUGCGGCUGAUUAGCUUGUUGGUGAGGUAAUGGCUUACCAAGGCGACGAUCAGUAUCUGGUUUGAGAGGACGAUCAGACACACUGGAACUGAGACACGGUCCAGACUCCUACGGGAGGCAGCAGUGGGGAAUUUUCCGCAAUGGGCGAAAGCCUGACGGAGCAAUACCGCGUGAGGGAUGACGGCCUAUGGGUUGUAAACCUCUUUUUUCAGGGAGGAAUCAAUGACGUGUACCUGAAGAAUAAGCAUCGGCUAACUCCGUGCCAGCAGCCGCGGUAAGACGGAGGAUGCAAGUGUUAUCCGGAAUCACUGGGCGUAAAGCGUCUGUAGGUGGUUCAAUAAGUCAACUGUUAAAUCUUGAGGCUCAACCUCAAAAUCGCAGUCGAAACUAUUAAACUAGAGUAUAGUAGGGGUAAAGGGAAUUUCCAGUGGAGCGGUGAAAUGCGUAGAGAUUGGAAAGAACACCGAUGGCGAAGGCACUUUACUGGGCUAUUACUAACACUGAGAGACGAAAGCUA